rnacentral:rRNA from 1 species
AGUGAACGCUGGCGGUAGGCCUAACACAUGCAAGUCGAACGGCAGCACAGUAAGAGCUUGCUCUUACGGGUGGCGAGUGGCGGACGGGUGAGGAAUACAUCGGAAUCUACUUUUUCGUGGGGGAUAACGUAGGGAAACUUACGCUAAUACCGCAUACGACCUACGGGUGAAAGCAGGGGAUCUUCGGACCUUGCGCGAUUGAAUGAGCCGACGUCGGAUUAGCUAGUUGGCGGGGUAAAGGCCCACCAAGGCGACGAUCCGUAGCUGGUCUGAGAGGAUGAUCAGCCACACUGGAACUGAGACACGGUCCAGACUCCUACGGGAGGCAGCAGUGGGGAAUAUUGGACAAUGGGCGCAAGCCUGAUCCAGCCGUACCGCGUGGGUGAAGAAGGCCUUCGGGUUGUAAAGCCCUUUUGUUGGGAAAGAAAAGCAGCAGGUUAAUACCCCGCUGUUCUGACGGUACCCAAAGAAUAAGCACCGGCUAACUUCGUG